rnacentral:rRNA from 1 species
AUUGAACGCUGGCGGCAUGCUUUACACAUGCAAGUCGAACGGUAACAGGUUAAGCUGACGAGUGGCGAACGGGCGAGUAAUGCAUCGGAAUGUGCCCGAUCGUGGGGGAUAACGCAGCGAAAGCUUCGCGAAUACCGCAUACGAUCUGAGGAUGAAAGCGGAGGACCGUAGGGCCUGGCGCGACAGGAGCGGCGGAUGUUAGAUUAGGUAGUUGGUGGGGUAAAGGCCCACCAAGCUGACGAUCGGUAGCUGGUCUGAGAGGACGACCAGCCAGCCUGGGACUGAGACACGGCCCAGACUCCGACGGGAGGCAGCAGUGGGGAAUUUUGGACAAUGGGCGAAAGCCUGAUACAGCAAUGCCGCGUGCAGGAAGAAGGCCUUCGGGUUGUAAACUGCUUUUGUACGGAGCGAAAAGGUCCUUUCUAAUACAAGGGGCUCAUGACGGUACCGUAAGAAUAAGCACCGGCUAACUACGUGCCAGCCGCCGCAGUAACAC